rnacentral:rRNA from 1 species
UGGGGAAUAUUGGACAAUGGACCAAAAGUCUGAUCCAGCAAUUCUGUGUGCACGAUGACGUUUUUCGGAAUGUAAAGUGCUUUCAGUUGGGAAGAAAAAAAUGACGGUACCAACAGAAGAAGUGACGGCUAAAUACGUGCCAGCAGCCGCGGUAAUACGUAUGUCACAAGCGUUAUCCGGAUUUAUUGGGCGUAAAGCGCGUCUAGGUGGUUAUGUAAGUCUGAUGUGAAAAUGCAGGGCUCAACCCUGUAUUGCGUUGGAAACUGCAUGACUAGAGUACUGGAGAGGUAAGCGGAACUACAAGUGUAGAGGUGAAAUUCGUAGAUAUUUGUAGGAAUGCCGAUGGGGAAGCCAGCUUACUGGACAGAUACUGACGCUAAAGCGCGAAAGCGUGGGUAGCAAACAGGAUUAGAUACCCUGGUAGUCCACGCCGUAAACGAUGAUUACUAGGUGUUGGGGGUCGAACCUCAGCGCCCAAGCUAACGCGAUAAGUAAUCCGCCUGGGGAGUACGUACGCAAGUAUG